GACUCAACGCGGGAAAUCUUACCGGGUCCGGACACACUGAGGAUUGACAGAUAUAUACCCCGUGAUUUUAUCGCGGGGUUGAAAGAUGCUAGUUCUUUCAUGAUUAUGUGAUAGGUGGUGCAUGGCCGUUCUUAGUUCGUGGAGUGAUCUGUCUGCUUAAUUGCGUAUCAAUAAUAGAGACCUAGUAUACGCGUAGACUCAUGCGGUAGUGACCCCCCUUCACAGGGCGCGUGUCGCACGUAUGUUAUACGCACAGGUCUCCGAUAGCAACGAACGUGACCGUACUCUAUUGUUGCAGCGACAAUACCUUUCAACGGGUAUUACCGCUGCUUAGCAAGAUUCGUCUUGCAUUAAACUAUAGAGACCGCUGUUUCUUCUUUAAACCAGAGGAAGGAUACGGCAAUAACA
rnacentral:rRNA from 1 species